GACGAACGCUGGCGGCGUGCUUAACACAUGCAAGUCGAACGGAAAGGCCCUGCUUUUGUGGGGUGCUCGAGUGGCGAACGGGUGGGUAACACGUGAGUAACCUGCCCCUGACUUUGGGAUAACUUCAGGAAACUGGGGCUAAUACCGGAUAGGAGCUCCUGCUGCAUGGUGGGGGUUGGAAAGUUUCGGCGGUUGGGGAUGGACUCGCGGCUUAUCAGCUUGUUGGUGGGGUAGUGGCUUACCAAGGCUUUGACGGGUAGCCGGCCUGAGAGGGUGACCAGCCACAUUGGGACUGAGAUACGGCCCAGACUCCUACGGGAGGCAGCAGUGGGGAGUAUUGCGCAAUGGGCGGAAGCGUGAUGCAGAAACGCCGCGUGCGGGAUGAAGGCCUUCGGGUUGUAAACCGCUUUCGCCUGUGACGAAGCGUGAGUGACGGUAAUGGGUAAAGAAGCACCGGCUAACUACGUG
rnacentral:rRNA from 1 species